UUAAGCGACUAAGCGUACACGGUGGAUGCCCUGGCAGUCAGAGGCGAUGAAGGACGUGCUAAUCUGCGAUAAGCGUCGGUAAGGUGAUAUGAACCGUUAUAACCGGCGAUUUCCGAAUGGGGAAACCCAGUGUGUUUCGACACACUAUCAUUAACUGAAUCCAUAGGUUAAUGAGGCGAACCGGGGGAACUGAAACAUCUAAGUACCCCGAGGAAAAGAAAUCAACCGAGAUUCCCCCAGUAGCGGCGAGCGAACGGGGAGGAGCCCAGAGCCUGAAUCAGUGUGUGUGUUAGUGGAAGCGUCUGGAAAGGCGCGCGAUACAGGGUGACAGCCCCGUACACAAAAAUGCACAUACUGUGAGCUCGAUGAGUAGGGCGGGACACGUGGUAUCCUGUCUGAAUAUGGGGGGACCAUCCUCCAAGGCUAAAUACUCCUGACUGACCGAUAGUGAACCAGUACCGUGAGGGAAAGGCGAAAAGAACCCCGGCGAGGGGAGUGAAAAAGAACCUGAAACCGUGUACGUACAAGCAGUGGGAGCCUCUUUAUGGGGUGACUGCGUACCUUUUGUAUAAUGGGUCAGCGACUUAUAUUCUGUAGCAAGGUUAACCGAAUAGGGGAGCCGAAGGGAAACCGAGUCUUAACUGGGCGUUAAGUUGCAGGGUAUAGACCCGAAACCCGGUGAUCUAGCCAUGGGCAGGUUGAAGGUUGGGUAACACUAACUGGAGGACCGAACCGACUAAUGUUGAAAAAUUAGCGGAUGACUUGUGGCUGGGGGUGAAAGGCCAAUCAAACCGGGAGAUAGCUGGUUCUCCCCGAAAGCUAUUUAGGUAGCGCCUCGUGAAUUCAUCUCCGGGGGUAGAGCACUGUUUCGGCAAGGGGGUCAUCCCGACUUACCAACCCGAUGCAAACUGCGAAUACCGGAGAAUGUUAUCACGGGAGACACACGGCGGGUGCUAACGUCCGUCGUGAAGAGGGAAACAACCCAGACCGCCAGCUAAGGUCCCAAAGUCAUGGUUAAGUGGGAAACGAUGUGGGAAGGCCCAGACAGCCAGGAUGUUGGCUUAGAAGCAGCCAUCAUUUAAAGAAAGCGUAAUAGCUCACUGGUCGAGUCGGCCUGCGCGGAAGAUGUAACGGGGCUAAACCAUGCACCGAAGCUGCGGCAGCGACGCUUAUGCGUUGUUGGGUAGGGGAGCGUUCUGUAAGCCUGCGAAGGUGUGCUGUGAGGCAUGCUGGAGGUAUCAGAAGUGCGAAUGCUGACAUAAGUAACGAUAAAGCGGGUGAAAAGCCCGCUCGCCGGAAGACCAAGGGUUCCUGUCCAACGUUAAUCGGGGCAGGGUGAGUCGACCCCUAAGGCGAGGCCGAAAGGCGUAGUCGAUGGGAAACAGGUUAAUAUUCCUGUACUUGGUGUUACUGCGAAGGGGGGACGGAGAAGGCUAUGUUGGCCGGGCGACGGUUGUCCCGGUUUAAGCGUGUAGGCUGGUUUUCCAGGCAAAUCCGGAAAAUCAAGGCUGAGGCGUGAUGACGAGGCACUACGGUGCUGAAGCAACAAAUGCCCUGCUUCCAGGAAAAGCCUCUAAGCAUCAGGUAACAUCAAAUCGUACCCCAAACCGACACAGGUGGUCAGGUAGAGAAUACCAAGGCGCUUGAGAGAACUCGGGUGAAGGAACUAGGCAAAAUGGUGCCGUAACUUCGGGAGAAGGCACGCUGAUAUGUAGGUGAAGCGACUUGCUCGUGGAGCUGAAAUCAGUCGAAGAUACCAGCUGGCUGCAACUGUUUAUUAAAAACACAGCACUGUGCAAACACGAAAGUGGACGUAUACGGUGUGACGCCUGCCCGGUGCCGGAAGGUUAAUUGAUGGGGUUAGCGGUAACGCGAAGCUCUUGAUCGAAGCCCCGGUAAACGGCGGCCGUAACUAUAACGGUCCUAAGGUAGCGAAAUUCCUUGUCGGGUAAGUUCCGACCUGCACGAAUGGCGUAAUGAUGGCCAGGCUGUCUCCACCCGAGACUCAGUGAAAUUGAACUCGCUGUGAAGAUGCAGUGUACCCGCGGCAAGACGGAAAGACCCCGUGAACCUUUACUAUAGCUUGACACUGAACAUUGAGCCUUGAUGUGUAGGAUAGGUGGGAGGCUUUGAAGUGUGGACGCCAGUCUGCAUGGAGCCGACCUUGAAAUACCACCCUUUAAUGUUUGAUGUUCUAACGUUGGCCCCUGAUCGGGGUUGCGGACAGUGUCUGGUGGGUAGUUUGACUGGGGCGGUCUCCUCCUAAAGAGUAACGGAGGAGCACGAAGGUUGGCUAAUCCUGGUCGGACAUCAGGAGGUUAGUGCAAUGGCAUAAGCCAGCUUGACUGCGAGCGUGACGGCGCGAGCAGGUGCGAAAGCAGGUCAUAGUGAUCCGGUGGUUCUGAAUGGAAGGGCCAUCGCUCAACGGAUAAAAGGUACUCCGGGGAUAACAGGCUGAUACCGCCCAAGAGUUCAUAUCGACGGCGGUGUUUGGCACCUCGAUGUCGGCUCAUCACAUCCUGGGGCUGAAGUAGGUCCCAAGGGUAUGGCUGUUCGCCAUUUAAAGUGGUACGCGAGCUGGGUUUAGAACGUCGUGAGACAGUUCGGUCCCUAUCUGCCGUGGGCGCUGGAGAACUGAGGGGGGCUGCUCCUAGUACGAGAGGACCGGAGUGGACGCAUCACUGGUGUUCGGGUUGUCAUGCCAAUGGCACUGCCCGGUAGCUAAAUGCGGAAGAGAUAAGUGCUGAAAGCAUCUAAGCACGAAACUUGCCCCGAGAUGAGUUCUCCCUGAGACUUAGAGUCUCCUGAAGGAACGUUGAAGACGACGACGUUGAUAGGCCGGGUGUGUAAGCGCAGCGAUGCGUUGAGCUAACCGGUACUAAUGAACCGUGAGGCUUAACCU
rnacentral:rRNA from 1 species